UGAGCGUUCGGAGUAUAUCCUUACUCCUUCAUCAGGUGAGCGUUCGGAGUAUAUCCUUACUCCUUCAUCAGGUGAACAUUUCACCUGCUGAAGGAUAUAUUCCAAAUGUUGUGUUCCUCAUAAUAAAGAAGUUUGACAUCCAUAAAACUCUCUUCCCUAACUGUGUAUGGUUUUAAUAAGCAGCUUGUUUACAUAUUACAUUGUUGCUUAUUUAAUUUAAUACAAACUUACUUUGGACUGGUACUUACCAUACUAUGGGUUAAUGGAACCAGGUAGCAAUACUUUUCUAUUUUGUAUGUAUGUGGCUUAUAUUGUUUAUAAUCAUAACAUACAAUAAACCUCUCAACCUUAAUCACACGCUAAUUUAAUGAGUACCUUAAACACGUAUAAUACACAGAUGUUUCUAACCACAGAUUGAUGCCAAAUAUGAACAUAUUAACAUGUAAAUAUUUUGAUGGAGUUAGCCAGAAAUUAUGUAAGUUAUUCUUGAAAUAACAGAUCUAUUUACUAUUUUAAACAUUACUGAGAAAACCACUUCAGGUCCUCUCAGCCUGAGGUGUUACCUAAAUAAAUAUAUCAUGAAAUGGUAUUUCAUCAGAUCCUGCAGCUUCAAGUUUGAACAUUAUGAUUUUUAGAAACUCUUGUUUUUUUAAAGCAACACAGUACUUAUUUGGGUAUCUUCCCAUUAUGACUACUCCCAUUUUGUCUACUCUUGAACAUAUACAUGUAAUGGAGCUCCCCUACACUUAUGUACUGUACCUGUAUAGCUGUCUACUCCCAGUAUGUCUACUCUCUGAAACAAACCUAUUAGUUCCACUCCCAGGGACAACCCAUAUUUGAAUCAUCAGAAGCUAUGUGAAUCAGGGAUCUUGUGAUCAUUCAUUGUUUGUUAUAAUUUAUUUGUUAAAGGUCACAUGCAACGCAAAAUACAACUUUGCAGAUUCUGAUACCUUUCAGUAUGGACUUACAGUAACAAAUUAUCAAUAAUGCAAAUUCAACUUAUAAAAAUAAUGCGAUGAAAAACCCCAUGCGAAAUCAGAGUUCAAACGAUUCAAUAAUUUCACCCCAGUGCUGGGUUGAAAGUGGUUUCAACAGCUGUGCUGCGCUGCACCAAUAGCGCAUGCGCAGUGAUUAGGUUCGCGCGGCUUGAACCAGGAAGGCGACUCGUAAAAACACAGCAAGUAAUGCGUGUAAAGAUAAUCGCUGUGGGCGAAGUUGGAGAACAAGAGAUGUUUCUUGUGAUUACAAGCAUCUUGGGUCUGCAGUAAUAAAAAUACACUGGUC